GUGACGCACAGCCCUGAUCGGCGUUAUUAGUUCCACCUGUGCAGGUCACAACGCCUGCUGUGAGAUCUGCUUUUUACAUCACUAAGAUUCUUGUCAAGCAAACUGUGCGCUCAAUACAGGCCUUGCAGGGUUCAUGCAGAGUGACACCGCCAGGCACCACCGUGCUGUCAUACCGACUGUCCUGGAGGAGGCGCUGAAGCCUGCAGACAUCGACUGUGUGUCUUACACCAACGGACUAUGACACUUCUGAAAUGGCAGCAAGCCAGUUUCCUGAAGGCUGCUGGUGAGGGGAAGUCUUCGCAGCCCUGAUUCAUCAGUCUCCUGGCGCCCUCUGCUGGUCAAUUAUAGUCAUCUGAAAGACCAACACUGAAGCAGAUAGAUGCUGGAAACAGUUUGACUAAAAUAAAAUACAAGACCAAGGCCAUUAAAUUAUUGUGAAGACUUUGAGACAGUAGAUAAUGCACAGGUGUAAACAAUUCAAUUAAUUUUUCCACAGCAGACAUUGCAGUAAACUACUCCAGGGAGCCAGCAUGUAGAAGACGAAGGCCUCCUCUAAAGGUGGAAUGCGGCUAUCAUUAAUGUCAUGUAAUAACACCUGUGCUUUUCCUACUGUGACGAGUCAAACUGUCUGCCAUGACACGGGUCCAUUUAGCUGCCUCAGCUCCUGUAUUGAGCAUGAAGACUGUGAUUAAUGUGAUUAGUAACACCUGAGCUUUACCUUCUGUACCAAGUCAAAUGCUGUGCAACCAACCUGCCUGCUCUGAUCACCAUCAACCAUGUGACUUGCCAAAAAUACAAAACCUAAACAAAUAAAUUCUAAUAUAUACAAAACUUCCCCUAAGAUCCAGUUAUUAGUUUAGUAUUAGGUUGUGUUCUACCAUCUGUAGCGCCACAUACGAGGCGGUAAUGUGAACUGGAUGUUAGUUUUAGCUCUUUAACUUGAACAAUCUCCUGCAGGUCAUGUCUUUCUUGUUAUCUAGGUCAAACGGUCGAGUUCGGUUAAACAGCUAGCAGACUGAUUUCAGCAGGAGCGGAUGAUGUGACUCAUCAGGGGGCAAUCCAAACAUAGUGGAGUCCUUCAAACACAC